CACGUAGGCACCAAGCGUUGUCCGGAUUUAUUGGGCGUAAAGAGCUCGUAGGCGGUUCGGUAAGUCGGGUGUGAAAACUCUGGGCUCAACCCAGAGCCGCCAUCCGAUACUGCUGUGACUAGAGUGCGGUAGGGGAGCGGGGAAUUCCGUGGUGUAGCGGUGAAAUGCGCAGAUAUCAGGAGGAACACCAGUGGCGAAGGCAGGUCUCUGGGCCGAUACUGACGCUGAGGAGCGAAAGCGUGGGGAGCGAACAGG
rnacentral:rRNA from 1 species